rnacentral:rRNA from 1 species
UACGAAGGGGGCUAGCGUUGCUCGGAAUCACUGGGCGUAAAGGGUGCGUAGGCGGGUCUUUUAAGUCAGGGGUGAAAUCCUGGAGCUCAACUCCAGAACUGCCUUUGAUACUGGAGAGCUUGAGUCCGGGAGAGGUGAGUGGAACUCCGAGUGUAGAGGUGAAAUUCGUAGAUAUUCGGAAGAACACCAGUGGCGAAGGCGGCUCACUGGCCCGGUACUGACGCUGAGGUGCGAAAGCGUGGGGAGCAAACAGG